rnacentral:rRNA from 1 species
AAUGAACGCUGGCGGCAUGCCUUACACAUGCAAGUCGAACGGCAGCAUGACCUAGCUUGCUAGGUUGAUGGCGAGUGGCGAACGGGUGAGUAAUGCAUCGGAACGUGCCUUUUAGUGGGGGAUAACGUAGCGAAAGUUACGCUAAUACCGCAUAUUCUCUGAGGAGGAAAGCAGGGGGCCUUCGGGCCUUGCGCUAGAAGAGCGGCCGAUGUCGGAUUAGCUAGUUGGUGAGGUAAAGGCUCACCAAGGCAACGAUCCGUAGCGGGUCUGAGAGUAUGAUCCGCCACACUGGGACUGAGACACGGCCCAGACUCCUACGGGAGGCAGCAGUGGGGAAUUUUGGACAAUGGGCGCAAGCCUGAUCCAGCCAUGCCGCGUGAGUGAAGAAGGCCUUCGGGUUGUAAAGCUCUUUCGGCUGGGAAGAAAUCGCACUCUCUAAUACAGGGUGUGGAUGACGGUACCAGCAUAAGAAGCACCGGCUAACUACGUG